rnacentral:rRNA from 1 species
GACGAACGCUGGCGGCGUGCUUAACACAUGCAAGUCGAACGGAAAGGCCCUGCUUGCAGGGUACUCGCGUGGCGAACGGGUGUGUAACACGUGGGUGAUCUGUCCUGCACUUCGUGAUAAGCCUUGGGAACUGUGUCUAAUACCGGAUAUGAGCUCCUGCUCCAUGUUGUGGGUUGUAGAGUUUCUGCGGUUGGGGAUGGACUCGCGGCUUAUCAGCUUGUUGGUGGGGUAGUGGCUUACCAAGGCUUUGACGGGUAGCCGGCCUGAGAGGGUGACCGGCCACAUUGGGACUGAGAUACGGCCCAGACUCCUACGGGAGGCAGCAGUGGGGAAUAUUGCACAAUGGGCGGAAGCCUGAUGCAGCAACGCCGCGUGCGGGAUGACGGCCUUCGGGUUGUAAACCGCUUUCGCCUGUGACGAAGCGUGAGUGACGGUAAUGGGUAAAGAAGCACCGGCUAACUACGUG